AGUGAACGCUGGCGGUAGGCCUAACACAUGCAAGUCGAACGGCAGCACAGUAAGAGCUUGCUCUUACGGGUGGCGAGUGGCGGACGGGUGAGGAAUACAUCGGAAUCUACUUUUUCGUGGGGGAUAACGUAGGGAAACUUACGCUAAUACCGCAUACGACCUACGGGUGAAAGCAGGGGAUCUUCGGACCUUGCGCGAUUGAAUGAGCCGAUGUCGGAUUAGCUAGUUGGCGGGGUAAAGGCCCACCAAGGCGACGAUCCGUAGCUGGUCUGAGAGGAUGAUCAGCCACACUGGAACUGAGACACGGUCCAGACUCCUACGGGAGGCAGCAGUGGGGAAUAUUGGACAAUGGGCGCAAGCCUGAUCCAGCCAUACCGCGUGGGUGAAGAAGGCCUUCGGGUUGUAAAGCCCUUUUGUUGGGAAAGAAAAGCAGCAGGUCAACACCCCGCUGUUCUGACGGUACCCAAAGAAUAAGCACCGGCUAACUUCGUG
rnacentral:rRNA from 1 species